GGUAUGUAAGCUCUAUCAGCAGGGAAGAUAAUGACGGUACCUGACUAAGAAGCACCGGCUAAAUACGUGCCAGCAGCCGCGGUAAUACGUAUGGUGCAAGCGUUAUCCGGACUUACUGGGUGUAAAGGGAGCGCAGGCGGUGCGGUAAGUCUGAUGUGAAAGCCCGGGGCUCAACCCCGGUACUGCAUUGGAAACUGUCGUACUAGAGUGUCGGAGGGGUAAGCGGAAUUCCUAGUGUAGCGGUGAAAUGCGUAGAUAUUAGGAGGAACACCAGUGGCGAAGGCGGCUUACUGGACGAUAACUGACGCUGAGGCUCGAAAGCGUGGGGAGCAAACAGGAUUAGAUACCCUGGUAGUCCACGCCGUAAA
rnacentral:rRNA from 1 species